rnacentral:rRNA from 1 species
UUCCCCUAGUAACUGCGAGUGAAGAGGGAAAAGCUCAAAUUUAAAAUCUGGUACCCUUAGGGUGCUCGAGUUGUAAUUUGGAGAGGCGUUUUCUGUGCUGGACUGUGUAAAAGUUUCUUGGAAUAGAACAUCAUAGAGGGUGAGAAUCCCGUCUUUGACACAGACUACCAGUGCUAUGUGAUACGCUUUCAAAGAGUCGCGUUGUUUGGGAAUGCAGCGCUAAAUGGGUGGUAAAUUCCAUCUAAAGCUAAAUAUUGGCGAGAGACCGAUAGCGAACAAGUACCGUGAGGGAAAGAUGAAAAGCACUUUGGAAAGAGAGUUAAACAGUACGUGAAAUUGUUGAAAGGGAAACGCUUGAAGUCAGUCGCAUUGCUUUGGAUUCAGCCUUGCUCUUUUGCUUGGUGUAUUUCCUUAGUAAUGGGUCAGCAUCAAUUUUGUUCAAUGGAAAAAGAAUGGGGGAAGGUGGCACCUCCGGGUGUGUUAUAGCCCCUGUUUGUAUACAUUGAAUGGGAUUGAGGUCUGCAGCACGCCUUUAUGGCCGGGGUUCGCCCACGCAAGUGCUUAGGAUGCUGGCAUAAUGACUUUAAGCGACCCGUCUUGAAACACGGACCAAGGAGUCUAACAUACCUGCGAGUGUUUGGGUGCUAAAACUCAUGCGCGUAGUGAAAGCAAAAGUUAAGAUCCCUGUCGUGGGGAGCAUUGACGCCCGGUCUUGCGCUUUGGCUAAAGAUCUGAGGUAGAGCAUGUAUG